CUACGGGGUGCAGCAGUCGAGAAUAUUUAGCAAUGGGCGAAAGCCUGACUAUGCGACGCCGCGUGAGGGAUGAAGGCUUUCGGGUUGUAAACCUCUUUAGUCAGGAAAGAAUUCCUUGCGGUUAAUACCCGUAAGGUUGACGGUACCUGAAGAAUAAGCCACGGCCAACUCCGUGCCAGCAGCCGCGGUAAUACGGAGGUGGCAAGCGUUACUCGGAAUCAUUGGGUGUAAAGGGCAAGUAGGCGGUCUGGUAAGUGAGGGGUGAAAUCUUCCGACUUAAUCGGAAAACUGCCUUUCAAACUGACAGACUUGAGGCAGGGAGGGGGAAAUGGAAUUCCCGGUGUGGGGGUGAAAUCCGUAGAUAUCGGGAAGAGCACCGGCGGCGAAGGCGAUUUCCUGGCCCUGUCCUGACGCUAAAUUGCGAAAGCUAGGGGAGCAAACAGGAUUAGAUACCCCCGUAGUC
rnacentral:rRNA from 1 species